GACGAACGCUGGCGGCGUGCUUAACACAUGCAAGUCGAACGGAAAGGCCCUGCUUUUGUGGGGUGCUCGAGUGGCGAACGGGUGAGUAACACGUGAGUAACCUGCCCUUGACUUUGGGAUAACUUCAGGAAACUGGGGCUAAUACCGGAUAGGAGCUCCUGCUGCAUGGUGGGGGUUGGAAAGUUUCGGCGGUUGGGGAUGGACUCGCGGCUUAUCAGCUUGUUGGUGGGGUAGUGGCUUACCAAGGCUUUGACGGGUAGCCGGCCUGAGAGGGUGGCCGGGCACAUGGGUACUGAGAGACGGCGCAGACGGCUACGGGAGGCAGCAGUCGGAAGUAUUGCACAGUGGGCGCGAGCCAGAUGCAGCAGCGCCGCGUGCGGAAUGACGGGCUUCGAGUGGUAAACCGCUUUCGCCUGUGACGUGGCGUGCGUGACGGUACUGAGUAAGAAAGCACCGGCUAACUACGUG
rnacentral:rRNA from 1 species